rnacentral:tRNA from 1 species
GGGCUGAUAGUGAUAACGGGAGCACAUUGCGCUUGCACCGCAAAGGUCGGGGUUCGAUUCCCCGUCGGUCCACCA